CAGAUUUUCAAGAAAUUUAUCAACAACAACAAAAAAUGACGUACACCUCAUGAUUCAGAUGGAGGGAUAACUCUCAUACAUAUAUUUAUAUUCUAAUUUGCCACGCUUAAACGAAUAUAACUUAUCUGAUACAUAAAACAUUAUAAAUUGGAUAAGUGUAACAUCCUGGUACCUUUCAUAACUAUUUAUACCACUGGGUCGAUGCCACUGCUGGUGGACGUUUUGUCCCCGCGGGUAUCACCAGCUCAGUAGUUGUCACUUCGGUGUUGACAUGAAUACCAAUUAUAUGGUAAUUUUAAUAAAUUUCCUGUUGAUAAAAAAAAAUCGAAAAACUAAGGAUUUUUUUAUCCGAGGAAUAGAUUACUUUAUCAGUAUUUGGCACAACUGUUUAGAAUUUCGGGUCCUCAAUGCUCUUCAACUUUGUACUUGUUUGGCUGUAUAACUUUUUUGAUCUGAGCGUCACUGAUGUAGAUGAAACGCGCGUCUGGCAUAUUAAAUUAUAAUCCUGGAACCUUUGAUAACGAUUGUGAUCCCAGCUUAUUGAAUAAUAAUAUUCAACCUUAGCAUACCAGUUUAACGUCUUCGAUAAGUGCAUUAAAUGCAACGAAACUUAAAUAUUUGAGAUAAUAUCCAUCACUGGAAGUUAUCAAACAAAUGUGUUCCACUGGUUUCCAGUGAACAAGCUUAAGUGAACUAAUUAGUCUCUUCAAGUUUCCAAAAAAUGCUUUAAAAACACAAAAUAAAAUGGUGCAUUAAAAUACACAAGAUAU
rnacentral:lncRNA from 1 species